rnacentral:rRNA from 1 species
UACGGAGGGUGCAAGCAUUGAUCGGAAUUACUGGGCGUAAAGGGCGCGUAGGCGGCAAGAAAAGUCGGAUGUGAAAUUCCGGGGCUCAACCCCGGAGCUGCAUUUGAAACUUUCUAGCUAGAGUAUAGUUGGGGUAAACGGAAUUCCACGUGUAGCGGUGAAAUGCGUAGAUAUGUGGAAGAACACCGGUGGCGAAGACGGUUUACUGAGCUAAAACUGACGCUGAGGCGCGAAAGCAUGGGGAGCAAACAGG